UCCUCCCACCUCGGCCUCCCAAAGCACUGGGACUACAGGCAUGAGCCACCACACCCAGCCAGAACCUGAGUGUUCAAUGUUUUCAUAAAUGGAUUUCACUGAGCGCUCUCAACCCUGGAGACGGCAGAACCGAGUCCCUCCACACCCAUUCCCAGCAACGGGCCAGGGCCACAGAGGAAGAAUCGCCCCUGGACUCUCAGAAUCCUAAAGCUUCAAUGGAUUCGAAGUUCCAGGAGGAGGAUGGAGGUGCUUUCAAGGUGGGAGAAGGUGCAAAAAGCAAGUCCCUGGGUGCCUUGCAGAGAAGGCGGUGGUUGUAUACAGUUAAAAUUUUCAGCUAUGUUGCAUAUAAUAUAGCUUUAUUAUUGAAAUUGUAAGUAACAGUAUAUAAUUUAG